AAACUAUAGUUAAGGAACUCGGCAAAUUAGCCCCGUAAGUUCGCGAGAAGGGGUGCCUAGGGCAACCUAGGCCGCAGUGAAGAGACACCGGCAACUGUUUAUCAAAAACACAGCUCUAUGCAAAGGCGCAAGCCGAAGUAUAUGGGGCGACGCCUGCCCAGUGCUCCAAGGUUAAGAGGAGGGGUUAGCCAGUAGUAAGAUACUGGUGAAGCUCUGAAUUGAAGCCCGAGUGAACGGCGGCCGUAACUAUAACGGUCCAAAGGUAGCGAAACUCCUUGUCAGGUAAGUUCUGACCCGCAUGAAAGGCGUAAUGACUGGUGUACUGUCUCAACUAUAGACUCGGUGAAAUCUUAGUACCGGUGAAGAUGCCGGUUACCCGCAACUAGACGGAAAGACCCCGUGGAGCUUUACUGCAGCUUGAUAUUGGGUUUUUUUCUGGUUUGUGUAGGCUAGGUGGGAGACUUUGAAGCUGACUUCUCAACAGGUCAGUGGAGUCGCAAGGUGAAAGACCACUCUAAUCAGCAGAAGAUUCUAACUUAUUGGUUUACAGCCAAAAGGACAGUGUUUGGUGGGUAGUUUGACUGGGGCGGCCGCCUCCUAAAAAGUAACGGGGGUGUUCAUAAGGUAUCCUCAGUAGGUAUAGAAAUCCUAUGUAGAGCGUAAAGGUAUAAGGAUGCUUAACUGUGAGACUUACAAGUCGAACAGAUACGAAAGUAGGACUUAGUGAUCCGGCGGUUACCUAGUGGUAGGGCCGUCGCUAAACGGACAAAAGUUACCCCGGGGAUAACAGGCUAAUACUUCCCAAGAGAUCACAUCGACGGAAGUGUUUGGCACCUCGAUGUCGACUCAUCGCAUCCUGGAGGUGAAGAAGCUUCCAAGGGUUGGGCUGUUCGCCCAUUAAAGCGGUACGUGAGUUGGGUUUAGAACGUCGUGAGACAGUUUGGUCCCUAUCUGUUGUGGGCGUAGGAAAUUUGCGGAGAUCUGCUCUUAGUACGCAAGGACCAGAGUGGACUGACCAAUGGUGUACCAGUUGUCCUGUCAAGGGCACGGCUGGCUAGCUACGUCAGGUCUAGAUAAGCACUGAAAGCAUCUAAGUGCGAAGCUAACUUCAAGAUAAGAUUUCCCAUCCCGUGAGGGAGUAAGAUACCUUCUAGACCAGGAGGUUGAUAGGUGAAAAAUGUAAGUAUAGUAAUAUAUUGAGUUAAUUCAUACUAAUUUAUCGAGGACU
rnacentral:rRNA from 1 species